AUUGAACGCUGGCGGCAUGGCUAAAGCAUGCAAGUCGUACGAGAACCGCGCAAGCGGGGACAGUGGCGGAAGGGCGAGUAAUGCGCUCCUACGUGCCCCAAGGUGGGGGAUAGGUCGGGGAAACUCGGCGUAAUACCCCAUGUGCUCUUCGGAGGAAAGCUUUUGCGCCUCGGGAGCGGGGAGCGUCCUAUCAGGUAGUUGGAGGGGUAACGGCCCACCAAGCCAAUGACGGGUAGCGGGGUGUGAGAGCACGACCCGCCGCAUCGGGACUGAGACACUGCCCGGACUCCUACGGGAGGCUGCAGCGACGAAUAUUCCGCAAUGCACGAAAGUGUGACGGAGCAAUGCCGCGUGCAGGAUGAAGCGGCUUCGCCGU
rnacentral:rRNA from 1 species